rnacentral:rRNA from 1 species
UACGUAGGGUGCUAGCGUUGUCCGGAAUCAUUGGGCGUAAAGCGCGCGUAGGCGGCCAGAUAAGUCCGGUGUGAAAGUCACAGGCUCAACCUGUGAAUGCCGCUGGAAACUGUCUGGCUUGAGUCCGGAAGGGGCGAGUGGAAUUCCUGGUGUAGCGGUGAAAUGCGCAGAUAUCAGGAAGAACACCUAUGGCGAAGGCAGCUCUCUGGGACGGUACUGACGCUGAGACGCGAAAGCGUGGGGAGCGAACAGG